CAAAAACACAUAAAGCAUAAUUAGUCAUUACUACCUCUUUUUAUUUUCUUCUUCUUGUUCUCUAUUGAAAGCUUGCAUAAUAAAAACCGUAAAGUUUGAGUGAGAAUCGAUUAAGGAGAAAAAAUGAAGAGGGUAUUCGGUGGUAAGAAGAACAAUGUUGAUCCUCCUGCUUCCAUUCAAGAUGCCUCCAACAGUAUUACUAAACGAGGUGAUACUGUGGAAGAGAAGAUUAAGAGGCUUGAUGCUGAACUUAAUAGAUAUAAAGAACGGAUCAAGAAAACAAGACCUGGACCUGCCCAGGAAGCUGUUAAGGCUAGAGCCAUGAGGGUUCUAAAGCAAAAGCGAACUUAUGAAGGGCAACGUGACAUGCUGUAUAAUCGGACAUUCAAUAUUGAUCAAGUUCAAUUUGCUGCUAAGGGCAUUAAAGAUGCUCAAAAAACUCGCUCUAAGGGGCAUUCGAGGUGGAGCUUUGUCUAUAAUCUGUUUGCGACCUGCUGCCUACCUCAUGAGAGGUAGUGGAUGAAUGGUUUGUAAUUUGGGAUUAGUCUCUUCCUAUAGAUGUUAUUAUGUCUUAUUCUUUUAUUAUAACUUACAAAUAUUGUAGUAUGUGUUAGAUUUUCAGAAAUCAGAUGAAACAUUGAAGAAUAUAUUGGCCAAACAGUAUAUAAUUUGAAUUUGUGUUCACAACUUUGUAUUUCAUUUCUCCCUUCCCCUUGUUUUUGUCUUGGUAGCGCUCUAAGGGGCAUUCGAGGUGGAGCUUUGUCUAUAUUCCGUUUGCGACCUGCUGCCUACCUCAUGAGAGGUAGUGGAUGAAUGCGCUCUAAGGGGCAUUCGAGGUGGAGCUUUGUCUAUAUUCCGUUUGCGACCUGCUGCCUACCUCAUGAGAGAUGUCAGCUUUGAAGUCUGCCAACAAGGAAUUAAAGGGAAUGAAGAAAACUGUGAACAUCCAAGACAUUGGUAAUUUGCAAGAUAAGAUGAUGGACCUGAUGCAUGUAAGCAAUGAACUAUACGAGACUCUUGGUUGAAGCUAUAAUGUGCAUGAUGACAUUGACGAGGAUGAACUCCUGGGUGGGCACCUGGAUAAAGAACCCAAUUUCAAUGCAGAGCUUAACUUGCCUUCAACACCAGCAGGACAUACAGCACUUGGCAGAUCCAAUGCCCAGGUAUCAUUUCCCCUUUAUCUUUUAUUCAAUAGAAAAGUGCUUCUCUUUUUGUAGUUUAGUUUUUAAACUGUACUUAAAUGGGGUUGUAAGGAUUAAAAAACUAAAUCAAAUCUCAUUGCAAAGGUUUGGUGUUAAAAGAUUUCAGUUCUGUCCUUUUAAGAUAUUAUUAUUUGGCUGCGACUUUGUCAAAGCAUGUAUAUUGUUUAUGGAUGGACACUGUUAAUCUUGAGAAGAGGUCAACUUCAAAGAGGAGUUAAAGAUUUCGCGAAGGUUUAGCAGAAACUGAAGCAGACAUAAUUAAGCACUGAAAACUGGUGUGGUUGAAUGGAAUAAAUAUGAAAGUGGAAAGUAGUGUGCACUAGUUAAAUGCAUAUCUACUGUUUUCCUUCAUUAUACAUUUCGUGAUAAACCUAUGCAUUUUUGAGCUUGCAUUCUCAUGUUUAGCAGUGCAACUCAUACGGAUGUUGCUUAUCACGUCUUGGUUCCCGAGCCUCGGUUUUUUCUCUAGCAAGACUAUAUUUCAUUACCAUACACUGGAAACAGCCUCUUCACUUGUAAAGGUAAGGCUGCGUACAUGUACUCUCUAUAGACCCCACUAAGUGGGAGCCUUGUGUACUGAACCGCAUUUUUUUGUUUAUCGAAGUGCUUCAUCUGUUCAUCAUCAUUAUUGUGUCAACCUCUGUAUAGUUUAAUCAGAGCCUCUGUUCUGGUCAAGUGGUAACAACUAACACUAACAAGUGAUUCUUGAAACAGUUUAAUACAAGAAUCUGAAGCUCUGUACUCUAUUUUGUGCAUUUUGUUGUAGUGUUAUGUAGUAUUCAUUCCUGAUUGAUUGCUUUGAUACAUACAGGCGGAAGAUGAACCGGGUUUACAUGCGGCCCAUGUGCAUCGUUACGCGGUUAGAGAAUGGCUUUCAUGUCAUUGAUGAGCAAGGCCUUGUAAAGAUGUGAUGAACUUGAGAAUGUUGAUUGAUAUAGUCAUUUAAUUGAUAUGGUGUGGAAAUAUAUUUGUUUAGUGAUCUAUAUGGAAAAUAUUGUGACAUGGGAAAAAUAUGAAAAACACAAGGGUGUAAUUAGUAUGUAAUUCUAAAUAAUAUGAUGGUUGCAAUGUAAAUUUUGACAAUUAUGAGAUAUAUGCAGAAGUGUUACCAUCAG
rnacentral:lncRNA from 1 species